AGCGGCAAGAGCUCAGAUUUGAAAUCUCACCUAGUGUGCGAGUUGUAAAUUGCAGGUUGGAGUCUCGGGUUAGACGUGUGUGCAAGUCCCUUGGAACAGGGUGCCACUGAGGGUGAGAGCCCCGUAGCGUGCAUGUCGAUACCUGUGAGGCCCUUCUGACGAGUCGAGUUGUUUGGGAAUGCAGCUCUAAGUGGGUGGUAAAUUCCAUCUAAGGCUAAAUAUUGGCGAGAGACCGAUAGCGAACAAGUACUGUGAAGGAAAGAUGAAAAGCACUUUGAAAAGAGAGUGAAACAGCACGUGAAAUUGUUGAAAGGGAAGGGUAUUGGGCUCGACAUGGGAUUUACGCAUCGUUGCCUCUCGUGGGCGGCGCUCUGGGUUUUUCCUGGGCCAGCAUCGGUUUUCGUUGCAGGAUAAGGACAAUUGGAAUGUGGCUCCUCGGAGUGUUAUAGCCUUUUGUAGAUGCUGCGUAUGGGGACCGAGGGCUGCGGCGGACUCGUUUCGUCUCGGAUGCUGGCACAACGGCGCAAUACCGCCCGUCU
rnacentral:rRNA from 1 species